rnacentral:lncRNA from 1 species
AUUAUAUUAACUACUGCUAUGAAAGCAUCAGGACCUCCACAACAAGGAGCUGCAGGUCUUGGCACACCGUGGAGUGAUGAAUUUCCUGAGGAGUCUCCACUCUGUGGAUGUUCCUGCAUGAGGUAGGAAGGAGCUGGAGAAACAAGUAGAAGGAAACAUGAACUUCUGAUCAGCUGUGCCUUACCUUGGUUUUAUUGAAGAGAGAAGUAGAAAUAAACUUCUUCAAGGAUUAAGAGUUAGAACUAGGGGGUCUCUAACUGAGGAAAUUUUUAAGAAGUCUCUUUCCAUCUUUUAAGGAUCAUUAAAAAAACCCAUGAACCACUCCACGGACCUGAUGACUAAAGGCCAUCUAAUUAAUUACAGCUCUGUAAAACAAGUAAUUAGCCACAUUUGGGAAGACACUGAAUU